CUUUGGGGGAGUGGCGCCACAGAGUCCUGUCCUGAAGGUAUUUAUAACCCUCCAUCACUAACUAGUCAUCCCUCCAUCCCUCUCUCCUCUCCUCUGUCCCUUCCUCCCUCAGUUAUCCACCCCUAGUUUGGACAGGCCCUGCCGGAACUCGUGCAGCUCAUCAAUCUUCCCAUCCAGGACGUCCAUGAACUUCUUCAGCUCUCCCUUCACGUUGCCCUGCUUGGACUGGCUGUCCUCGAUGUCGGCCUGAAGACCCUCUAUCCUAUCCUCCAGUCGGGCUACAUGCCACCGCACCGAUGACAGCUUGGCUGAGGAAAUACGCUGUGAGGCUGUCAGAUGACCGAGGGAGGACUACACCACCCUAGAGACAUCAUUACAGCCACUCCUGGUUAGCAUAAUCAUCUCUCCAUUCAGAGAGAGAGAGAGGAAGUGAGAGAGAAGAGACCACUUAGCAGGAGUCUGAUCUGUCAGAAUGUUCAUCUGACCCAGCAGGACACAGAGGAAAGGACCCACUUACAGCAAAAGCACCUGGGCUGUGUGUGUGUGUGCAUCAGACAGGUUCUGUCUCCAUCUCUCUGUCAUCGCGUACCUCUGAGUUCAAUCAGGGUUCAUGAAAUGAUGAUCAAAACAGGAUCAACAGAAGGAAAUAAAUCCAAGGUGUAAAUCAAACUGGUUUCAGCUUUAAAGUCUUUGUCAGUGUGAUUUACUGCCCAAACCAAUAGGUUUCUAAUAGUCCCAC